rnacentral:rRNA from 1 species
CCUACGGGAGGCAGCAGUCGAGAAUCAUUCACAAUGGGGGAAACCCUGAUGGUGCGACGCCGCGUGCAGGAAGAAGGUGCUAUGCAUUGUAAACUGCUUUUAUACGGGGGUAAUUACAGAUACGUGUAUCUGGAUGAAAGUACCGUAUGAAUAAGGAUCGGCUAACUCCGUGCCAGCAGCCGCGGUAAUACGGAGGAUCCGAGCGUUAUCCGGAUUUAUUGGGUUUAAAGGGUGCGUAGGCGGUCAGGUAAGUUAGAGGUGAAAGCUCGAUGCUCAACAUCGAAACUGCCUCUGAUACUGUCUGA